UUUUUUUUACCAGAAUUACUCAGCGUACUGUAAGAUAACAGUCAUUCUAUUUUUUGCUUCUAAUGGCUUGUUUAUAUUAAUCUUUCUAAAUUUUCAUCCUAAAUUAAAAUGUCUUAGCAUUUCAAAAAUGACUCUUCUAUUCUCUAACGACCACAUUUAACGAUAGCGACAAUCGUUAACGACAGUCUGAUGUACAACAAUCUCAAACAACCAUGAACGGUUUUCCAAUGUCUAGUAAUAUAUGUAGAUUUAAUACAUUUUUCAAAGCUCCAAGGUAAAGUUACUCUAGUUUUUAUAACAGCCACUAUAGAAUCCAAACACAACGAUUGAGAAGCAGAAUUAUUCAGUUAUACUAGUAUA